rnacentral:rRNA from 1 species
AUUAUCCUACGGGGGGCAGCAGUGAGGAGUAUUGGUCAAUGGGCGCGAGCCUGAACCAGCCAAGUCGCGUGAGGGAAGACGGUCCUAUGGAUUGUAAACCUCUUUUGUCGGGGAGCAAAAGACGCCACGUGUGGCGUUCCGAGAGUACCCGAAGAAAAAGCAUCGGCUAACUCCGUGCCAGCAGCCGCGGUAAUACGGAGGAUGCGAGCGUUAUCCGGAUUUAUUGGGUUUAAAGGGUGCGCAGGCGGAAGACCAAGUCAGCGGUAAAAUUGAGAGGCUCAACCUCUUCGAGCCGUUGAAACUGG